GCAGACCGCGGAACUGGACAGUAAGAGCAAUAGGAAGAGAUGUAAUGAAGCACCUGCUGGUUUCCGAUGAAGCGUAUCUCUCAGUUCCAGUGGCGUCACUGUUUCCUGCCGAACAGCAUUAUGGGAAGAUGAUCGUGACAACAAAAGUCCUUUUCGCCAGUUAACGUAAAAUCACGGAACAGUGGAAAAAUACUGGGUGUUGUGAUGAGGAAUGGACCUCUGGGUGGGUUGACUGUAAAGUCUCAGCACACACACUACUCUGGGUCUGUUUGACUCUAUCCUUCAUGGGAGAGGCCACAGAACGCUGCAGCUAAAGAUCUGGAAGAGAUAUCAACUUUUUCUAAAUAAACUUAUUGAAACUUA